UACGAAGGGGCUAGCGUUGCUCGGAAUCACUGGGCGUAAAGCGCACGUAGGCGGAUCUUUAAGUCAGGGUGAAAUCCCAAGGCUCAACCUUGGAACUGCCUUUGAUACUGGGAUCUCGAGUCCGGAAGAGGUUGGUGGAACUGACGAGUGUAGAGGUGAAAUUCGUAGAUAUUCGCAAGAACACCAGUCGGCGAAGGCGGCCAACUGGUCCCGGUAC
rnacentral:rRNA from 1 species